CUACACGGGUAUCUAAUCCUGUUUGCUCCCCACGCUUUCGUGUCUCAGCGUCAGUACAGGCCCAGGCGGUUGCCUUCGCCAUCGGUGUUCCUCCGGAUAUCUACGCAUUUCACCGCUACACCCGGAAUUCCGCCGCCCUCUACCGUACUCUAGCUCGCCAGUAUCGAAUGCAAUUCCUAGGUUGAGCCCAGGGCUUUCACAUCCGACUUAACGAACCGCCUACACACGCUUUACGCCCAGUAAAUCCGAUUAACGCUAGCACCCUCUGUAUUACCGCGGCUGCUGGCAC
rnacentral:rRNA from 1 species